rnacentral:rRNA from 1 species
AGAGUUUGAUCAUGGCUCAGGACGAACGCUGGCGGCGUGCCUAAUACAUGCAAGUCGAGCGGAGUUAUGAUGGAGCUUGCUCCUGAUUAAUUCAGCGGCGGACGGGUGAGUAACACGUAGGCAACCUGCCCUUCAGACUGGGAUAACUACCGGAAACGGUAGCUAAUACCGGAUAAUUCCUUUCUUCGCCUGAAGAAAGG